GUGCUUGCUUUGACAGCACAUAUACUAAAAUUGGAAUGAUACAGAGAAGAUUAGUAUGGCCCCUGCACAAGGAUGACACGCAAGUUCGUGAAGCCUUCCAUAUUUUU
rnacentral:snRNA from 1 species